rnacentral:rRNA from 1 species
UGGGGAAUAUUGCACAAUGGGGGAAACCCUGAUGCAGCGACGCCGCGUGAGCGAAGAAGGUUUUCGAAUCGUAAAGCUCUGUCCUAUGGGAAGAUAAUGACGGUACCAUAGGAGGAAGCCUCGGCUAACUACGUGCCAGCAGCCGCGGUAAUACGUAGGGGGCAAGCGUUGUCCGGAAUCACUGGGCGUAAAGGGUUCGCAGGCGGAAAUGCAAGUCAGUUGUGAAAGGCAGAGGCUCAACCUCUGUAAGCAAUUGAAACUGUAUUUCUUGAGAUGUGGAGAGGCAAGUGGAAUUCCUAGUGUAGCGGUGAAAUACGUAGAUAUUAGGAAGAAUACCGGUGGCGAAGGCGACUUGCUGGACACAAACUGACGCUGAGGAACGAAAGCGUGGGUAGCAAACAGG